CCUCUUCUGGUUGUGAGCGCAACUGGAGCACAUUUGAUUUUAUUCACACCAAGAAGAGGAAUAGACUAGAACAUGAACGUUUGAAUGAUCUAGUCUAU